GCCUCUUUGGCGCAGUGGUAACGCGUAGCACUUGUAUCAAUGUAAUCAAUGCUAAGAUCACAGGUUCGAUUCCUGUAGGAGGCA
rfam:Blumeria graminis f. sp. tritici 96224 unplaced genomic scaffold Scaffold-217, whole genome shotgun sequence.